CCCGAGCAAGGUAUGUAUAGGUUUUCUAAUUUUUCUUCUGAUUUUUUGUUUUUCUCUUUCUUCUGACUUGCGUUAUCCUUUCAUCAGCCGGAAGCACAAGGCGGCCUCAGUGGAGCUGGCUCCUCAGAAGGCCGUGAAGAGGGGGGCGCGGUCGACCCCUGGGUCGGCGAGGCCGAAGUCGCCGCCCCCCUGAGCUGCGAAGAGGGGGAGCUCCCCCACGACGAAGGGGGGCACGGGACUGGGCGGAAGACGCCGGAUCCCCCGACGAAGGAGGUGGGGACGCCGAGGCCCCAAGUGUCAGAGGGGACGGUCCUGGCCCUCGGGCUAUUCCCCCUGCGGGGGAUGCU
rnacentral:lncRNA from 1 species